GCCAGGCAUUCACACAGAGGUGGCCGACACUGUUCCUCUUACAGAUAAGGAGUCAGCAUCUUUUCCAUGCCUCAGGACCCACUGCAGGGGCCAUGCAACCACUGACAUAGGUACAAGGCAAGUAUCUUAUAUCACAUCACCAUUUCAGGAUUUUACCCUCCAGGUGCCUAACCCUCAGUUCCCUUCCUUGAUACACAUAGGCAGGACAAUGCAAUCAUUCCUCCCCAGUUCAUCUUUGAUUCUGUCAGGUCCCUGUUCGGGUGCCAACAGUUUUGUGACAGACUUUUUCUGGGGAGACACAAACGCACCUAUUCCCCCCACCUAACAAAAAAGAAACUCACAAGAGACCAAAGUAACAAUUGCAUCAGUGACCAACUUGGUGGGCCAGUGAGUAUUUUUAUUGAGAUUACUGACAGCAUGGGUGAGAGGUUGCUUCCAGGGUCAGCACACCAUUAUAACUGUGACUUCAAAGCCUUCGCUCACUCACAGAUCUUCCUGUUCCCCAGUGCUGGCGACAGUCUCCAUGUUCCCUGGGAUCUUCAUGUCUAUUUGAGUACAGGGAAAGCCUCUGGCUUUUUAUCAGCAUAACUCCAAAUGAAGUAGGUUAUAAUAAGGCCUCCUUGGUGCAUAGAGUUCUCAGUUCUCCGUGAACAGGACGACAUGCAAGUCUUCUGUGACUAAGCUGUUGUACCAACCCCCUACUCAUUUCUUGCUACUUAUUCCAAAGGCAUUUCAGAUUAUUAAUCUUUCUUCAAAGAUGCUGAGUAAUUGUGACCUUUCAAAUUAUCCUACUUCUGGCCCAUCUGCUUGAAAAGCUGCCCCAGCAGGCUGGGGAGCAGAACAGGGCAGAGGAAGCUUUACUUCUCUGGAGUAACCAAGAUGCCUCAAGCAACACUGCUACCACGGCGUUGUAGCCCACAGAGUGUGCACAAAGCAUCAUUAUAAACACAUCCUGAUGUGUCUUACCUGUGUGUGUCUGUGUUUCCCUCUACUGCUCCAUAGCAUGGAGCUGCCAUACCCUGUGCAUAUCAUGAAUCUAAUCUUCAUAUCUGCACAAGCAAUUAUUGCAGACUUCCCAAAGGGGUUUUUGCCUUUUAAUAAUAAAAUGGAUGAGUGCAAAAUUACUGAUUUGGAUAUGUUUAUUCAAAUAAUUACUUUGAAUAUUUAUUCUUAGAUUUCUUUCUUUUAUCACUACAGCUACUAAUCUUUACAUUUUCCUCUAAAAUUUUUUCACAGAGGUUUUUUGGUUUACAGGGGUUGUUGUUGUUGUUGCUGCUGCUGCUGUUUUGGACAUGGUUUUGCUAUAUAAAUCAAGAGCAGCCUGAAAGUCAUGACCGCCAUACCUAGUAUUAACCUUUUGUUACUCUAACUGUGCCAAACCUACUGCAUUUUCACUUUUAAUAAAGCCUAUGGUGUAUGAGCUU
ensembl:processed_transcript